rnacentral:rRNA from 1 species
UACGUAGGGACCAAGCGUUGUUCGGAUUUACUGGGCGUAAAGGGCGCGUAGGCGGCGCGGUAAGUCACUUGUGAAAUCUCUGAGCUUAACUCAGAACGGCCAAGUGAUACUGCAGAGCUUGAGUACAGAUGAGGUAGGCGGAAUUGACGGUGUAGCGGUGAAAUGCUUAGAUAUCGAGAGGAACACCUGCGGCGAAGGCGGGUUGCUGGGCUGACACUGACGCUGAUGCGCGAAAGCUAGGGGAGCGAACGGG